GACCUACGGGACGCAGCAGUGGGGAAUAUUGGGCAAUGGGCGCAAGCCUGACCCAGCAACGCCGCGUGAAGGAAGAAGGCUUUCGGGUUGUAAACUUCUUUUCUCAGGGACGAAGCAAGUGACGGCACCUGAGGAAUAAGCCACGGCUAACUACGUGCCAGCAGCCGCGGUAAUACGUAGGUGGCAAGCGUUAUCCGGAUUUACUGGGUGUAAAGGGCGUGUAGGCGGGAAAGCAAGUCAGAUGUGAAAACCACGGGCUCAACUUGUGGCCUGCAUUUGAAAAUGUUUUUCUUGAGUACUGGAGG
rnacentral:rRNA from 1 species